AGUGAACGUUGGCGGCGUGGAUUAGGCAUGCAAGUCGAGCGAUCGUAGCAAUACGGGAGCGGCAAACGGGGUAGGAAUACAUCGGAACGUACCUUUUGGUUGAGAAUAGCGUUGGGAAACUGACGGUAAUACUCAAUAAAGUCGAGAGACCAAAGGUUUACUGCCGGAAGAGCGGCCGAUGCGAUAUUAGGUAGUUGGUGGGGUAAUGGCCUACCAAGCCUGAGAUGUCUAGGGGGUGUGAGAGCAUGGCCCCCACACUGGGACUGAGAUACUGCCCAGACACCUACGGGUGGCUGCAGUCGAGGAUCUUCGUCAAAUGGGCGAAAGCCUGAACGAGCGACGCCGCGUGCGGGAUGAAGGCCCCUUGGGUUGUAAACCGCUGUCAGGGGGGAUGAAACCGUAAGGUUGACAGAGCCCCAGAGGAAGCACGGGCUAAGUUCGUGCCAGCAGCCGCG
rnacentral:rRNA from 1 species